GCUAAGGUGGCAGAAUGGUAAUGCGUCAGUCUCGAAAACUGGUGUCCUUACGGACUCGGAGGUUCGAAUCCUCCCCUUAGCG
rnacentral:tRNA from 1 species